GGUUCAAUGGAAGAUGAGGGUCACAUCAAGUCAAACUCCUCCAGCUCAUCGUCUCUGCACAGACAUAUGGACAGACAUCACACCCAGAGGGGUCAUCUCAACUUCUCACCCUUCGGUGCAGGGGCUGCGCUCUAAGGCAGAGAGGUGCUGGGAGCACCCCUCACGUUUAGGGCCGAGGUGAUCCAACAUCUGCGUUGGUGCUGACCUGGGGGAGGGGCGGGCCGACUGGAGGACCCAACAGGACACCAACGGAACACUACGAAACCCGGAUACUAUGCUGGCCUGGGCCAAUAGGAGGUCCUCUCCAUAGUGGGAGGAUGACCGACCGACCACCCCUCUCCUCUCCUCACACAUCCUCUCCUGUCUACACCCUGCCUCCUGCCCCUCCCUCCUGCCCAGGUCUGCCACCCCAUUGGGCAAAGGACAGGUGCAUCAGAGAGUGAGACAAUGCAUAAGAUAAGACAAUCCAACCGACAAGAGCAUUUACAAAGAAAGGAGGGAGAAAUGGAAUAGAGUAGCAAUCACAAUCCACAUCCCUCCUUCCUCUCUCUCUCUGUCUCUCUCUCUGCCUCUCUCUCUGUGUCUCUCAGUCUCUCUCUCUCUCUCUCUCUCUCUCUCUCUCUCUCUCUCUCUCUCUCUCUCUCUCUCUCUCUCUCUCUCUCUCUCUCUCUCUCUCGCUCUCUCAUCUGAUAGUAGGAGGGGGCUUGGCGUGACAGAGCAGGGAUCGCAGAAGUUCUGUGAACAGGGACUCUCCUCCAGCUCAGAACCCAGAGAGGGAGCCUCGUCAUUGGGCUAGAUCUGUGCCUAUGUGCAGAACAGAGCAUGUGUAUACCCCCCUGUACAUAUCCUCUGUUGAAUCUCACUGGUCUGGUGUUCAGAACAGUCAUCAUCUCUAGGACCAGGAAGUUUUUCAUAUCAUGUGAUCUGAGCAGGUAAAACUCCUGUCUAGUCCUCUGAACUCCUUCAGGUAUCAGCUACCACUUUAGCCUCGCACAGGCAACUAGGUGCUUCAGGUGCUUCUGUAACCCUGGCAACAAUAGAUCAGAGGUCAAGGAGACCCCAAGGUGCACUUCUUUCACCCCCUGCUAGCCACCAGCCUUUCACUUUAGCACAAAACUGUAUGGAAGAACCACAACAAACACCAUACUGAGUGCAGAUAUGCACUGCCCCCACCGGCCCAGUGAUGGAUACUAAUCCCAGAAAACACGCUAAAAGUAUUACUGACUAGACAACACAAAAGCAAAGCUGUUUUGAUAAUGAUGGGGAUAGUAGCUAGUUCAUGUAGAAAGAACGCCAUUGGUCAGAUUGUAUCAAUGUUCUGUAAGAUUUUUACUGGCCUUAGUGCCAUAUAACAGGAGGCCAGUCAAACUCAGCUACAGAUAAUGUAUUUUUAAUUGAUGAGUUAAUGUGUAAAGCACACAAACAGACUGAAUAGGGAACAGUGUAGAUGACCAACACACAACUAUCUCUGGCAGUCCCUCAAUGUACUUCUUAUCUAGAUUUAUUUGACAAAUAUCUUAUAGAAAUAAACUGUAGUUUCUUCAUAUUAGUGUCCCAUUCGCACCUGAAUCGUUUGAUGUGUUUCAUCUUAUGUAAAACAAUGUUAGGAGUCGACAAGUUUCUGUAGAAUUCAAGGCUGCAACUCAAGCACAACUGAGUUCUCAAGUAAAGCUACCCUCAACCUCCUCAUUCCCCCACCCUGUCUCCUCAUUACCCUCACAACCUCAAAAAAUAUCCCAUCACCACCUCCAGGAUGCUGUAGGGGUUAGAGGGCGUUGCCAGGGUAACCUCCCUGUAAAUAAUGGCUGACGUUUAAUGUGGUUUUGACUAGAUGAGCUACAGCAUAUGUCAGAAUAGACUUUUCAUAGCAGGUUAGAAGAACGUACGCAGCAGGUUAGGAGAAUUAGGUUGUUAUGAAAAGGGUUAGAGUUAGCUAAAAUGCUGUAUCCCAUCUAGCCAUGACCAUUUAAUGUCCAAAUGUUUUAUUUACUAUAGCAGAAGAGCACAGAAAUGGAAAGAUGGAAAGAGGAAAUUGUCUAUAUGGAAGAUAGUUUCGUGCAAUGACUGAGGCAAAGAGCAGAGGUUUAUUUUAUAAUGUGAAUACCUUUUUUUGCCAUAUGAUUGCCUAUUGACAUGAAACUUCAUUAUGCUGUAUUUAUCUUGUGUGUUUGUUUGUUUCCCUGUAACUCCAUUGUAAAACUGUUCCAGUGGAGAAAGACUGAUGUUUCCAUCAUUUAUUUGUCUGAUUGUUGUUAGGAUGUUAAAUUGCACAAUGUUGAUGUGUGGAGUGGUGUACACAUCAUAAAAAAAAUAGCUAAAAAAUAGCCUUUAACCGCUGAUAUAGGAUCAAAUAUUUUCAACAUCCUCCUAAUGGUUAUGGUUAGGAUUGAGAGAAUGGUAAUCUGAUCCUAGAUCUGUGGUAAGGGGCACCUAACACUGGCCAUGGUAAAUUGGAUGGGUGUGUCUGUGCAAGCCAUUUGAUCAUAGAAGAUUGAUGUGACUGUAAAUCCCUGGAAGUAGCUCUGUUUGUUUUCUCAUGUACACUGAUCAUCCUCCAACACAUCUGAUUGAUCCUUUAAUAGGAAUUAGCAACGCCAUCACAAGCUCUAUCUUAGUUGUUGACCGCACCGUGUGUGUGUGUGUGUGUGUGUGUGUGUGUGUGUGUGUGUGUGUGUGUGUGUGUGUGUGUGUGUGUGUGUGUGUGUGUGUGUGUGUGUGUGUGUGUGUGUGUGUGUGUGUG